rnacentral:pre_miRNA from 1 species
CUAGUACUCCCUCAGUUCCGAAUUACUCGUCGCAGAAAUGAAUGUAUCUAGAUGUAUUUUAGUUCUAGAUACAUCCAUUUCUACGACGAGUAAUUUGGAAUAGAGUAAUUUGGAACGGAGGGAGUACCUA